rnacentral:misc_RNA from 1 species
GGUAGCAUUUUGUAAUGACAACCUGAUCGAAGCAAAAAGAGAAAACAAUGGAAGUGUAGCAGAAAGAAUAAACGUGACAAAAUGUCUAGUCAUUCAAUUGGUAUACAAGUUAAAUUAUUUAUUAAUCGUAAUUCUCCAUGAAAAAUGAAAUAUUAUUUUCACCCUUCCAAUUUUAAAGAGAAUUUAGAAAUCUAUUAAGUUCUAUAUCUAAUUUUAGAAAAUUAGAAAACUUGUUUGCUUGCUCUAGUUUUUUAAGUUUAAGAAAACAUUUCUAUUUGCAUUAGAUGCAUUUUCUUAACUUCGUCAUGGCAGAAAAUUGGAAAACUAUUUUCCCUAAGCUUCCAUAAGCAAAAGCAUGCCCUUCAUUUUUGACAGGUAAACAUAAUACAUAUCAAUGAUCAAGAUACCUUCCACAAUAUCUGUAAUAAAAAGAUUCAAUAAUAUUAUAAAUGUUUCCCACAACAAACAUGUGACACCAGACCCAUAAAAUAAGCAGGGAACAUCUACCUCUUUAGGUCUUUCAAGGCAG